AUACGUAGGGAGCGAGCGUUGUCCGGAAUUACUGGGUGUAAAGGGAGCGUAGGCGGGAGUGCAAGUCAGAUGUGAAAUACAUGGGCUCAACCCAUGGGCUGCAUUUGAAACUGCAUUUCUUGAGUGAAGUAGAGGUAAGCGGAAUUCCUGGUGUAGCGGUGAAAUGCGUAGAUAUCAGGAGGAACACCGGUGGCGAAGGCGGCUUACUGGGCUUUUACUGACGCUGAGGCUCGAAAGCGUGGGGAGCAAACAGGAUUAGAUACCCUGGUAGUCCACGCUGUAAACGAUGAUUACUAGGUGUGGGGGGACUGACCCCUUCCGUGCCGCAGUUAACACAAUAAGUAAUCCACCUGGGGAGUACGGCCGCAAGGUUGAAACUUAAAGGAAUUGACGG
rnacentral:rRNA from 1 species